GAACGCCGGAUGCGCUGAAAGGUGCAUGUCCGGUGUGGACCGGGGGAAAAGAUGGAGAUAAUACCAAAGUCUUACCUAUCGGUAU
rnacentral:ncRNA from 1 species